GGGGCUGUGGCUCAGUAGUAGAGCACUCACCUAGCAUGUGUGAGGCACUGGGUUCGAUCCUCAGCACCACA
rnacentral:tRNA from 1 species